CUUCUUCUUCUUUGAGCAUGAUUCAUUCAAACUUUUUGUUGGUGUGUAAUGUCCAGCAAGCAACUCGAUUUCUUUGGUGUGUAAUAUAUAGAGGAUCGACGGUGAAUCAGAAGCCAUUUUGCAACUUCUGUGUGACCUUUCAACCCCCAUCCUUUGUUCAGUGAGCUUCACAGCCAUUAAGGCAAAGCUGAUCCUUUUUUUACUAGCCUUACUAAGUGUCGAUGUUUGGGAAGACCUCCUCAAGAACCAAUCUGGUGGAAACCAAGGAGUCGCAAAGGCAAGUGAAUGACCUUAUGGAGAAAGGGCAUAUCAGAGGGAGCAUGAGCCCUUGUGUCCUUUUCGUGUUGUUGGUACUUAAGAAAGACAGUAGCUGGCGAAUGUACAUUGAUUGUAGAGGAAUCAACAAUAUCACAGUUAUGUACCGACAUCCCAUUCCUAGAUUACAUGAUAUGCUUAAUGAAUUGCAUGAUUCUAGCAUCUUUCCUAAAAUUGAUCUUAAGAGUGGAUAUCAUCAGAUUACAAUGAAAGUAAGGGAUGAGUGGAAAACAACAUUUAAGACGAAGCAUAGUCUUUACAAGUGUUAGUUAAGCCAUUUGUACUAACAAAUGCACAUAGUACGUUCAUGAGGUUAAUGAAACAUGUACUUAGAGAUUUUAUAGUUGUUUUGUAGUAGUCUACUUUGAUGACAUUCUGAUUUAUAUCAAGAACCUAGAAAAGCAUGUUAGUCACUUGAAAUAUGUUCUAGAUGUGCUUAGGAAAGAAAAGCUAUUUGCUAAUUUUUAAAAUGCACGUUUUGUACAAACAAUUUUGUCUUCCUAGGUUUUUUGUAAGUGCGAAUGGAAUCAAGGUCGACAAAGAAAAGGUCAAGGCUAUUAAAGAUUGGCCGAGUCCCAAACAGUUUGGUGAGGUGAGGAGCUUCCACGGCCUAGUCGGGUUUUAUAGACACUUUGUUAAAGAUUUUAGUACCCUGGUUGCACCUCUAACUGAAGUUGUCAAGAAAGACAUGAGAUUCGAUUAGGGAGAAGGACAAGAAGAGGUGUUUCAAACCUUGAAAAAUAAGCUAAUCAACGCACCUCUAUCAGUCUUACCUGAUUUUUUGAAAACCUUUGAAAUAGAGUGUGAUGCAUCUGCUAUAGGAAUUGGAUCUGUUUUGAUGAAGGAUAAUAAGCCCAUUGCAUACUUUAAUGAAAAACGCGGAGGAGCUACUCUAAACUACCUAAUGUAUGACAAGGAGCUGUAUGCUUUAGUCCGGGCUUUGCAACAUGGCAACAUUACUUAUGGUUUAAGGAGUUUUUCAUUCAUACUGAUCAUGAGUCUCUCAAGCAUCUAAAAGGACAACAAAAUCUCAUCAAAAAACAUGCCAGGUGGGUCAAAUUCACUGAGACAUUUCCCAAUGUCAUCAAGUAUAAACAAGGUAAGGAAAAUGUAGUUGUUGAUGCAUUUUCUUAUAGGUAGGCCUUGCUCUCUAUUCUUGAUGCUAAGUUUUCGGUUUUGAACAGCGUAAACAAAUAUAUGUAUCUGAUUCUGACUUUAAAGAUGUAUAUUAAUUUUAUGAAAAGUUUGCUAAGGAUAAUAAUAUGGAUCUCUCUUUUAUUACAAUCGCUUGUGCAUGCCUUAUCGUUCUAAUCGAAACUUGCUUGUUAGAGAAGCUCAAAGGGGUGAACUAAUGAGACACCUUGGAAUUAUUAAGACCCUUAAAGUAAUUCAAGAUCACUUCCUGGCCACAGAUGAAGAGGCACAUGGAGAGGAUAUGUCAAAGAUGUGCUACAUGCAAACAUGCAAAGUCUAAAGUUCAACCUCACAGUUUGUAUACUCUAUUACCUAUUCCUAAUCAUCCUUGAACUGAGAUCUCUAUUGAUUUUGUUCUUGGACUAGGAUAAGUAAGGAUUCUAUCUUCGUAGUGGUAUAUAGAUUUUCUAAAAUGGCACAUUUCAUACCAUGUAACAAAACCGAUGAUGCAUCACAUGUAGCUAAUCUGUUCUUCAAGGAGAUUGUCUAUUUGCAUGGCAUGCAAAGGACCAUUGUGACUGAUAGAGAUACAAAGUUUUUAAGUUUCUUUUGGAAAGCAUUGUGGUCUAACCAAGGAACUAAGAUUUUUAUUUUCUACUACAUGUCAUCUGCAUAAUGAUGGGCAAACAGAAGUGGUUUAAGGAACCUUGUCUACAUUGUAGCGUGCAUUAAUUGAGAAGAACCUUAAUUCUUGAGAAGAUUGCUUACCUCAUGUAGAAUUUGCAUAUAACAAUUUUGUUCACUCUGCUUCGAAGUUUUCUCCAAUACAGAUUAUUUAUGGUUUUAACCUUUCAUCUUCUUUGGAUCUAGCCCCUUGGCCUCUAAGUGAAAAGGUAAAUUUAGAUGGGUAAAAUAAGGCUGAGCUUGUUGAACAGAUCCAUGAGAAGGCUAAAAAAAACAAAGAAGAGAAGAUGAAGCAAUAUGUUAGACAAGCCAACAAGGGCCGCCGCAAGAUGAUCUUUAAGGUUGGAGAUCUCGUGUGGGUACGUUUGAGAAAAGAUAGGUUCCCAGUAGAACGAAUCUCUAAACACAUGCCUAGAAUUGAUGGUCCUUUCGAAGUCAUAAAAAUAAUCAGCGUUGAUGUACAAGGUAAAUAUAACAUGAGUCCGAGUUUUAAUGUUGCUGAUUUAGUUCUAUUUCUUGCAAAUGAUCCAGAUUCAACACAUGGUAUUUUCAAAUAUAUGGUAAGUAGUUGAUAUCUCAACAGAGCAAUGGAAAGACAAGAUCUCUUGAUGUAUUGGAUAUGGACGACCACAAGAGCAUUCCUCAAGAUCUAAAACCUCAACAAAUGCCAUAACUUCAAGCAUUGGCUUUAAGUCCAGCCCAAGCUCCAAAGAAUAAGCCAACCAUUGCAAAUUUUGACACUCCUUGUUGUCGUGGAAUGAGAUAUGGUUAGAUUGUUUCAAAACUCUAAGUUCUUGUGGUUAGGAAUGGAGAAUCCAUAUGACCAUUUGGACUCUUUUGAGAGGUUGUGUGACACAUUUAGGAUUGGAGGAGGGCCCCAAGAUAGUAUCAAGCUCAUCUUGUUCCCAUUUUCACUUGGAGAAAAUACAUGCGCAUGGGAGAUAUCACUACCAUCUCACUUAGUCAAGUCGUGGGAUAAUUGCAAGAGGAUGUUUCUUUUAAAGUUCUAUCCCAUACAAUGAACGGUCCAAACUAGUAGAAACAUCUUGAGCUUCAAAACAAGGCAUCUAUGUGACCUUUCAUGAGGCAUGGGACAGACUUAAAGGAUAUACUAGCGAUUGUCCUCAUCAUGGGUUCAACAAGAAGCUAUCCUUAGUAUAUUGUAUUGGGGAGUUGAUAGAGAGCAUAAAUGGACAUUGGAUGUAGCUAGCAAUGGGCGUUUUGCAAAUCUCACGAUAGCACAAGGACAACUACAUGUUGAGAAUUUGGCCAAGAGUAAUAAAAGAUACAAGGAUCAUGAUAUUGAAGCUUGUCAAGAUGAUCAAGGUGAGGUGGAGCUUUGUUUUCAGCAAGAGUUUGUUCCACAAGGCCAAGUAGGUUCUUCAAAGCCUAAAGAGAUGGAAUUGAACAAAUUUUUCCAACAAAUAGACAAGAUGAGAUUAAUACAAGAGUAAAGAGUUCUUACAAAGAUCUCCACACAAAGCAUGAAUUCAUGUCUUCUAAGGUCAAACACUUGGAGAAACAAGGUUCUAAAGAAAGUUCCCUCACUAGUGAACCCAUACUAAAGGGCAAGGAACUAAAGGAUUAUUGUAAUGCUAACUUCUCAAGUAAGGUGCAUUUGUUUGAUGAGAAUGAGGAAGCUAUAAUAGAGGUUGAGAGACUUCUCCAUGGCACCAAAGAUGAGAUUCACCACUUUGAGAUGAAGUAUGUGGGAUCUUGUGAAAUGAAGGAAAGAGGAUCAGCCUCUUGAAGCUUGUGAAAAAAAAAGAAAGAACCUGAAGUAUAGCCUGAUCUUGAGUUCAUUGAUGGUUAGAAAUUCUUUAGUGAUGAUGAGGAUUGAUUGGAACUUCAAUAUUCUACACCAUAAAGAAAGAAGUUUCUUGCAAAGUGGUCCAAUAGAGAGGUGGAGGUCCUAAAGCUAAGAAGAAACCGAGCAAGGCCAAUAAGGAAAAAAAAUUUCUUGACCAAUCUUCCACUAUCAUUCUCAUUCCAUUAACUCAUCAAGAUGGAGUGAUUGAGUAUAAGAUUCAGUGUAGAGGAAGGUCUAAGCCAUUUGCAAAGGUCAAAGCAAUUCUCACUCAAGAACUCAAGGACAAAGGUGAAAAUGGUAUUGAGGAGCUUAUGAGCAAGGCAAUGAGGCUUGAGUUCAAGGAAAUCCAGGGAGUUCCACUACUCUCUCUCUCUCAUUAAAAGGAAGGUAUGAAAAGUCAAAAUUAGUGACUUAAAACAAAGUGUACUUGGAAGACAGUCCCAUGUCUAUCAUUGUAUAUACUUUCUCUUAUUGCUUUCUAGUUAAAUGUUAUGUUUUGGGGAGUCUUGAUCUUUUUGUUGAUUGUGUGCAAGGGGAUUUGAUGGUCUAAGAUUUAACACGUGGUAGAGGAAAACCAAGGCCGUGCACAACUGAUCUGUGGUGAUGCUAAGAUCCUUUGAUGCAUAGACAUCACUCCUCCUCUCCAUUAAACACUCAAGGUAACACUUUAAGACUUAUGUAUAGCAUUUAGUCUCAUUUUCUUUAGAAUUUUGUUUUUCCUCUUUCUCAUGCUUCUAUUACACAAGAGACUCUGUAAUUUGAGUGUGGGGGAGGGAUUUAGUGUUAUAUAACCAUGUUUCUUUGUGUUCUUAUUUUAUAUUCAACAUUUUGAGUCUCAUGCAUUCAUUCAUUAUACAGAAAAGAUAAAAAUUGGUAAUUUUUAAAGUUUUUUAUCAAAAAAAGAAGCAUACAGAUGCAUUUGCAUACUUAGGAUUGAGUAUAGAAUGCAUUUCAUAUAGGUUUUCAUCAUGCAUUGGGAAUAAUGGUUGAUUUUUCCUUGUAGAAUAUCAUUUUACGAAUUUGGUUCAGUGUCCUAGUUAUUAGUUGUUGAUGCAUCUAAUUGAGUUUCAAAUCAAGGAUGAACCCUAUUUGGAUCUUGUGUUUGACUUUUCUUGUCUUAGUUGAAUCAUGUUGUGAUUAGUUCCAAUCCUACUUAAGUGAAAACCUUUAAUUUGUCAUCUUAAUUAUCAGGUUUAUGCAUUUCAUAGUGAAUUCAUGGAUACCAUAUACAUAUUUGGGCUAUCUUCAUCUUGUUACAACUCUUUGUUAGCUCAAAUAGCCAAUUCCCAUCAUUGGAAUGGUUAACAACACCUUAAACCAAUCCUCCUUUCAAGCCACGAUUAGUGAGUCCAUGUAAGGCCUUAUUUUCAAGUAGAGUUGGCAAAACGUGUUGGGUCUAGAGCGAUAAAGGUUUUACAUGUAGGUUCUAGUCCAUCAUCAAUGGCUAGAUUAGGUUAGGCUAUGGGUUGGGAAGUUGUGGUUUAUGAGAAAAAUUGAUGGAGUGUGGUGUGAAAGAGAAAGAUGGGAUUGAAGUAGGGGAAUGAAUCCAAAAGAAAAAAAAUUUUGAGUUAGCAAGUGUUAAAAAAAGCUAUAAGUAUAAUAGCUAGUCUCUCGAGUUAACAAAAAGUAAAGAAAAGAAAAAGAAAGAGACUAGAAGAGUAAAUAAAAGAAAAGAGUUAAGUGUGUAAAGAAAAAGAACCUCUCAAAGUGUUAUGUGCAAGAAGAGCAUUCCCUUAAGGCCUUAGAGAUAAGAAAACAACAAAGGUUGGUUUUUAUCAAGGUAAAAAUGCCUUUGAGAAAGGGUAGCUUAGGAGAAGAAACUUCAUGGCUAGGUUUUUAAAGCAAAUGGGGUAUUGAGUCGAUGUAGGUCUAUCUUUGUAUGCAUCCAUUGCUUUUUACCCUUAGCAUUUUGCUAAAGUCUACUUCUUCUUGAGUGAUCCCUAGCUUGGAGCAACCAGUUACUUGUAUUGGGAUCAUCUUAGUCUCAAGACCAUGUCCCUAGCCAAAUGAAUUCAUUUGUCUUGCAUGAACAUGAUUCACUUGAAAACCUUUAUGAAUUUUAAUGGGUUGGGACUAGGCAUGCUUGUCUAGGCUAAUACUUGAGCUUGAUGCAUUUAUUGAUGGAUAUGGCUAGUUUCUUUUAAGUAGACUCACUUGUUUGCAUCCUAGAACUAGUAAAUUUGGACAUUGAACUUUGAAUUCUUUUAUUGAUAUUUAUGGAUAUGAGUUCACCUUUCAAACCUCUUUAUCACCUUGUUCUUGUUUGUUUUCUUGAUGAAAAGCAAAGGAUAAGUGUGGGGGAGUUGUGGAUAAAAUUUAUCAUGUUUUAUCAUUCAUUUUAGUAUAGUUUUAUGUCUAGUCCAUUCAUUUGAAAGCAUUUCUUAAUAUUUUAAUGUUAAUUGAGUUUAGAUAGGAAUGCAUUAGGUCCAAGUGUGUCUUUGCAUGUUUUGGAUUCAUUCUAGGUACUUUUGGAGAUUUAGAGUGCAUUUGGGCUUGAGAACACUUGAAGAAAUGGUGAAAAAAAUAUGAAGAAUCAGCCAAAACGUGCUCUCGGCAAAUUUCCUUUCCGGAAAAAAGUUUCCAUGGCGAAAACUGCAUCAGGCAUGUACCGCUCGGCCAAAAACCCUUCGCAAAAACACCAGUAUAUGAUUCUCUCGGCCAAAUCUUACACCAGCCGAUGUAUCUAAAAGUUCAUCUGAAACAGGCCCUUUUUACUAUGACUCAGCUUCGACGAUCUUCAUGGAAGUUGAAGGCCAGAGAGUCAUCUUUCCAAUUAAGUUGGUCUCAUGACGUUUGGAGCCUUAGAACGAAAGUUACAGCCGUUGCCGAACACAUAUGUCCUAUCGGUCCGAUUCCGUGCACAAUUUUAUAGUUUGUCAAUUACAUACAAAAAAAUCAAAGUCCAAUAAAUCUAUUUACUGUACCUGCUCCACAAGGUAUAUAUGUACUUUAUCAAAAGUUUUAUUUCUAAAAUUGUAUAUUAUUCAUUUUUAAGGUGAUUUAAUUUUGUUUUGUUUUUAUUUUUUUAUCAAAUAUAAACGCUCAUAUAUAUGUGGUCCUAAUCUAGUUUAUAAUAAUCCUUUGUCAUAAAAUUAAAUCUUUUAAUAAUUUCUCUAAAUAUAUAAAUAAUUGGAAAAAUGUGUUAUUUAAUCUGAUGUACAGACCUUCAAAAUUAUUUAAUCUCAUUGUUAGGAGAAACCAAUAUUGUACACUGUUAAAACUGUAGAUAUUUUGGUAAAAAUUGCAGUAAACCCGAGACAAAGAGGCACGAACAAAGGAGUGAAAAAAAGGAGGGGACAUGUGAUGCGAUAUAGCGAUGGGUCAUCGAGGGAAUCUUGUAUUCUUAUGAUAAUUGCCAACCAUGCUUAUUUUGGGUCUUCUCUUCUUAUUGCAGAAGUAGCCCCCAUGUUCACGUGAUCCCUUCUUCCCAUUCUUGCUCUAUAUAUUCAUAUACCCUUUCUUAUAUUUCCUCCACGUACACUUCUCAACAUGGACUCAUCCAAACUCUCAUUGCUCUCUCUCUGUCUCCUCAUUUGCAUUAUCUGUUCUCCCCAACACUCACUCUCAUGCGGUUCCUGCAACCACCAGAAGGGCGGAUUACCCUCAAUUAAACCCCCUGUCACCAUUCCCAAGCUUCCUGUUCCUCCGGUUACUGUUCCUAAGGUACCCGUUCCUCCAGUAACUGUCCCUAAUCUACCCGUUCCUCCUGUAACUGUUCCAAAGCUACCUAUUCCUCCGGUGACCGUACCUAAACUUCCAGUUACCGUACCUAAACUCCCAGUUCCUCCGGUGACAGUCCCUAAGCUACCCAUUCCGCCAGUGGCCAUUCCAAAGGUACCCGUUCCUCCAGUUACUGUCCCAAAGGUACCUGUUCCUCCUGUGACUGUCCCUGAGCUUCCACUUCCUCCAGUGGGCGGGCUACCCACAUUGCCACUACCACCAUUACCAGGGACUAUCCCACCAGCCACAGGAGGGAAGGAU
rnacentral:lncRNA from 1 species